GAGUUUGAUCAUGGCUCAGGACGAACGCUGGCGGCGUGCCUAAUACAUGCAAGUAGAACGCUGAAGAGAGGAGCUUGCUCUUCUUGGAUGAGUUGCGAACGGGUGAGUAACGCGUAGGUAACCUGCCUUGUAGCGGGGGAUAACUAUUGGAAACGAUAGCUAAUACCGCAUAACAAUAGGUGACACAUGUCAUUUAUUUGAAAGGGGCAAUUGCUCCACUACAAGAUGGACCUGCGUUGUAUUAGCUAGUAGGUGAGGUAACGGCUCACCUAGGCGACGAUACAUAGCCGACCUGAGAGGGUGAUCGGCCACACUGGGACUGAGACACGGCCCAGACUCCUACGGGAGGCAGCAGUAGGGAAUCUUCGGCAAUGGGGGCAACCCUGACCGAGCAACGCCGCGUGAGUGAAGAAGGUUUUCGGAUCGUAAAGCUCUGUUGUAAGUCAAGAACGAGUGUGAGAGUGGAAAGUUCACACUGUGACGGUAGCUUACCAGAAAGGGACGGCUAACUACGUGCCAGCAGCCGCGGUAAUACGUAGGUCCCGAGCGUUGUCCGGAUUUAUUGGGCGUAAAGCGAGCGCAGGCGGUUUGAUAAGUCUGAAGUUAAAGGCUGUGGCUCAACCAUAGUUCGCUUUGGAAACCGUCAAACUUGAGUGCAGAAGGGGAGAGUGGAAUUCCAUGUGUAGCGGUGAAAUGCGUAGAUAUAUGGAGGAACACCGGUGGCGAAAGCGGCUCUCUGGUCUGUAACUGACGCUGAGGCUCGAAAGCGUGGGGAGCGAACAGGAUUAGAUACCCUGGUAGUCCACGCCGUAAACGAUGAGUGCUAGGUGUUGGAUCCUUUCCGGGAUUCAGUGCCGCAGCUAACGCAUUAAGCACUCCGCCUGGGGAGUACGACCGCAAGGUUGAAACUCAAAGGAAUUGACGGGGGCCCGCACAAGCGGUGGAGCAUGUGGUUUAAUUCGAAGCAACGCGAAGAACCUUACCAGGUCUUGACAUCCCGAUGCUAUUUCUAGAGAUAGAAAGUUACUUCGGUACAUCGGUGACAGGUGGUGCAUGGUUGUCGUCAGCUCGUGUCGUGAGAUGUUGGGUUAAGUCCCGCAACGAGCGCAACCCCUAUUGUUAGUUGCCAUCAUUCAGUUGGGCACUCUAGCGAGACUGCCGGUAAUAAACCGGAGGAAGGUGGGGAUGACGUCAAAUCAUCAUGCCCCUUAUGACCUGGGCUACACACGUGCUACAAUGGUUGGUACAACGAGUUGCGAGUCGGUGACGGCAAGCUAAUCUCUUAAAGCCAAUCUCAGUUCGGAUUGUAGGCUGCAACUCGCCUACAUGAAGUCGGAAUCGCUAGUAAUCGCGGAUCAGCACGCCGCGGUGAAUACGUUCCCGGGCCUUGCACACACCGCCCGUC
rnacentral:rRNA from 1 species